AAGUUACCAAAAAAGUUGCAAGGGUAUACAAACUUUGACGCGGUCGUCAAAGUCCUCCUACUUAUUUCAAAACCUACAUUAGUGCUCUUAAUCGAGUGUUUUUUUGGGCCGGUACAAUUACUUUGAACAAAUUAGAGUGCUUAAAGCAGGCUUCAAAUGCCUGAAUAUUCUGUGCAAGGGAUAAUGAAAUAAGACCUCUGUUCUGCUUUCAUUGGUUUUCAGAUCAAGAGGUAAUAAUUAAUAGAAGCAGUUUGGGCGCAUUAGUAUUACGACUCGAGAGGUGAAAUUCUUGGACCGUCGUAAGACUAACUUAAGCGAAAGCAUUUGCCAAAGAUGUUUUGCGAGACUCAA
rnacentral:ncRNA from 1 species